rnacentral:rRNA from 1 species
CACGUAGGUGGCAUGAUAAGUCAAAGGUGAAAGCCCUCGGCUCAACCGAGGAAUUGCCUUUGAAACUGCCUUGCUUGAGUCCGGGAGGGGGGAGCGGAAUUCCCAGUGUAGCGGUGAAAUGCGUAGAUACUGGGAGGAACACCGGUGGCGAAGGCGGCUCCCUGGACCGGUACUGACACUGAGGUGCGAAAGCGUGGGUAGCAAACAGGAUUAGAUACCCUGGUAGUCC